GGCGGACGGGUGAGUAACGCGUGGGUAACCUGCCUCAUACAGGGGGAUAACAGUUAGAAAUGACUGCUAACACCGCAUAAUAUAGCGAAACCGCAUGGUUUUGCUAUCAAAUAUUUAUAGGUAUGAGAUGGGCCCGCGUCUGAUUAGCUAGUUGGUGGGGUAAAAGCCUACCAAGGCGACGAUCAGUAGCCGGCUUGAGAGAGUGACCGGCCACAUUGGGACUGAGACACGGCCCAAACUCCUACGGGAGGCAGCAGUGGGGAAUAUUGGACAAUGGGGGAAACCCUGAUCCAGCGAACCGCCGCGUGAGUGAAGAAGUAUUUCGGUAUGUAAAGCUCUAUCAGCAGGGAAGAUAAUGACAGUACCUGACUAAGAAGCCCCGGCUAACUACGUGCCAGCCGCUGC
rnacentral:rRNA from 1 species